UAUUUCUAUCUAGUAGCAAAAGCAUAAAAUCCCGCUCCGAAACCUCAAGACCAAGCAGUACCAACGUCUGGACAUAAGGUAGAUAGAGCUCUGGAGUCAGACUUGCCUGACUCAAAUCCUGCUCCAGGCAGCGCUACACCUCUGGACAAGACUACUGACCACUACAUAUGUCAUUACAUACGUGGAAAUGAUAAUGGCAUCUACCUUAUGGGGUUCCUGAGAGGAUGAUAGCAGACCACGCAUUAAAACACAAAGCACGGAACUGGGAACGUUAUAGGUUCUCAUGAAUGCCACCCAGGGAGCAUACCAAUGGUCCACUGAGCUACUGAAAUGAUGCUUCGGACCUGAUCCCUGCCUCAUAAAUAAGGACCAGACAUGGAAUCCAGGCAAGCCACAGACAGCCAAGGAAAAGGAAGAGGUCAACAAAUUUGGAACACUUUUCUUGCAAAGGAAAAAAAAUGGGUAACAUCUUCAGCUACUGCCAAACAGAGUAAAGAAAACAAAAACAUCGAACAUUAUUGCCA